rnacentral:rRNA from 1 species
ACUCAAAUGAAUUGACGGGGGCCCGCACAAGCGGUGGAGCAUGUGGUUUAAUUCGACGCAACGCGAAGAACCUUACCUGGGUUAAAUCCCCCGGAAGCCUCAAGAGAUUGAGGUGUGCCCUUGCGGGAACCGGGGAGAAGGUGCUGCAUGGCUGUCGUCAGCUCGUGUCGUGAGAUGUUGGGUUAAGUCCCGCAACGAGCGCAACCCUUGUCGUUAGUUGCUACCAGAUGAAGCUGAGCACUCUAACGAGACUGCCGACGUGAAGUCGGAGGAAGGUGGGGAUGACGUCAAGUCCUCAUGGCCCUUAUGCCCAGGGCUACACACGUGCUACAAUGGCCGGCACAAAGGGUAGCGAAGCGGCAACGUGGAGCCAAUCCCAAAAAACCGGCCCCAGUUCGGAUUGCAGUCUGCAACUCGACUGCAUGAAGUCGGAAUCGCUAGUAAUCGCGGAUCAGCACGCCGCGGUGAAUACGUUCCCGGGCCUUGUACACACCGCCCGU